rnacentral:lncRNA from 1 species
GCAUCUCUCCACCAAAUGGCAAAAAGGAUAUGAGGGAUCAAGCAGAAGAGACUAUGCAUGCUAAACACUACCCAGCUUUUAUGGCUUUGUUACAUUAACGCAAGCUUAUAAAUGCUGCCCAACCUGUUCCUGGAUUUACGAACUAGUUACACUCCCAGUAGCAGGCUCCUACUUGCUUCACAGUUGGCAGAUGGGAAGUUUGGAAGUACAUGCCUGAGAAGUGUUUGAGAAGCUGAGGCACAGGACAUCAGGAUUUCCUCAAAACAAGGGCCCUACCUCUUCAAUUGCAUCUGUGAUCAAUGAUGAAUCCAAACAUCCCAGGCAAAGCUCUUUCUUUUGGAGAACUUCAUGUGAACUUGACUGGAGGAUGGAAGACAAACCCAAUCAGACCCAAGGGCUUCCCAGAAAGCAAUGGACUUUGUCAGAUUCCUGAGUUCAUUCCUCCACUGUGGUAGUAGCCCAGGCCUCCUUGUUCCUCAGCCAUCAGAAGGAAAGACUGUAAAAAGCAACUGAGAUGUUAUAAUCCUUGCCCACUGUGCUUGAUAGAGUCAGGGAGAUAUGGUCCCCAAGUAACUGCCACCAUACCGUAAGAUGGACUUCUCCGAUAGAGGCUCUAGAGACAGUUUUGUCUCCUGACGGGACAGACUGCCGAGACACUAAUGAGCAGCAUCCUUGUGGUGUCCUGUCUGACUUGUCCCUUCAUCUCAAAACUGCAUGUGCUUUGUGGAGCAUGAACCAAUAACAGGUUUCCAAAGUGUUCAUCUAACAUUAAGACCAAAGUCAUUCUGCCUUACAGACCUCAUGUAGGUCACCAGAUCUGACGGAGGUGGGGGUGGGGGUGGAGGGAGCAGGAUAUAUUCCCUCCACAGCGUAACAAAGCACCCUGCCGCUAUGAUGUAGACACACCCUGAAUGAUCAGAAGUGGAAUAUGUCUGGACAGUCACUUGAAGAAAGGACAACAAUGCACUAACGGUGAUUCUUCAAGAUACGCUGUCCCAUCUAUUUUACAUCCUGCUUUCCUGUUAGCCCAGGGUUCCUGGCUCCCUGCAUUCUUUUUAACAUGAGAAAUGAACAGUGAUUGCAGAUAUCUCGCCCUUUUUGCCCUUGGCUACAAGGUGCUGGAGGUCAGACCUAGCUCCAAUGACUUCUGCUAUUCAAGAAGAUUAUGACUUGAUUGCAUGGGGACACGUGCAUCAGAAGUGAACAUGUGGGCAGCACAUCUUACAGAGCCACAGUCUUGAUAGGGUAAUACAUUAGGAUGUUUUGGUCAGUACACAACCAGCUUU